rnacentral:rRNA from 1 species
ACGGGAGGCAGCAGUGGGGAAUAUUGGACAAUGGGCGAAAGCCUGAUCCAGCGACGCCGCGUGAGUGAAGAAGUAUUUCGGUAUGUAAAGCUCUAUCAGCAGGGAAGAUAAUGACGGUACCUGACUAAGAAGCCCCGGCUAACUACGUGCCAGCAGCCGCGGUAAUACGUAGGGGGCAAGCGUUAUCCGGAUUUACUGGGUGUAAAGGGAGCGUAGACGGUAUGGCAAGUCUGAUGUGAAAACCCAGGGCUCAACCCUGGGACUGCAUUGGAAACUGUCAAACUAGAGUGCAGGAGAGGUAAGUGGAAUUCCUAGUGUAGCGGUGAAAUGCGUAGAUAUUAGGAGGAACACCAGUGGCGAAGGCGGCUUGCUGGACGACAACUGACGCUGAGGCGCGAAAGCGUGGGGAGCAAACAGGAUUAGAUACCCUGGUA